GGGGGGCUUUGGCUGAAGAACCUCUGAUGCCAAAGUUAGAAUUUAGAGAGAAAAAGUGUUUAGAGAGUUUUCGGAAUUUUGCAAGAGUGUGAACCUCCCUUUUUGGAGAAAAUAUAUAGAGUAUGGCCGGUCCCCUUUGGAGACUAGGUGGCUGGCCUUUGGGAUGUUUUUUGGGUGUUAUUUGGUGAUUUAAUUAGCAAUUAAUAUAUUGAUUAGGAAUAAAUAUAUUAAUUGGCUAAUUAACAUAAUAAAAGGAAUGUUUUUGGGAGGUUAUGGAAUGAAUAAAAUAAAUAGCUAAUUGAUUAGCUAAAAAAGGGAGAAUGAGGUAAAAAAUAUAUGGAAUGAAAUAGGUUUUGGAAGUUACCUUGUAGAAGGGACUUGAUGAGAUAGGUUUUGAAUUGUUACCUAUUUUGGGCACUUUUGAUUUAGUUGAAGGAUGAUUGCCCGCUGCUCAUGCGUAGAAAUCACGUUGUACCUCAAGGGUAUUUUGUCUUUUGUCCAAAGAUCCACGUGUCGCCUUGUGAUUAUUUUUGGCUUCACAAAUGCCCCCACACUUGUUGGGCUGUUCACAGAAAAGGGCAACAGGUGUAGAGAUUUUCCUGCAUUAGGAAACUUUAAAUUGUUUCUGAUUUUGAUGUUGAUUCCCUAUUUCAUAGGAAAUUAGAUCAUUCUAGGAAAUAGAAAUAAAUUUCUCUCAAACCCUAUUUAAAUCCACCUUAAGUGGGUUAUCAAAUCAACUUUGGAGAGCGAUUUAUUCUACCAUACAGGAGAGAGAGCUUAGAGGAUAUUUGUUCCCCCUCCUCUAGCAAUCUUUUACAUCUUGCCUGUGCAAAUGACCGUCUUUCGUUGAUUUCUUCGUCUUCUCCGUGCCGCACCGAUGUAAGAAAAAUUUAAUUUUUCUUGUUUUCUUCUUGGAUAGUGCUAUCGCGGGGCAGCCGUCAGGGUGGUGCAUCACGUCAACUGGCAGGGGCCAAGAGUCGGCUCGGUAUAGGCUGAGGAGGUGUUGUGGCAAAGACCACUGCUUUAAGUUGCUUAACUUAGCUAGGGCCAUAGACAGCUUGUGCGGUUGGGGCUGCGAAUUGAAACGAUGGGAUGUAGUGCUAGACGAGCUGCAUGGCUCAUGUCUUUUGGGCUCUUGGUCAUGACGCUGGCUAGGUCGGUGAUUGAGAGAAAGGAGAAGGUUGCGGGCCUCAUGAGCUGCUGAAACGCUAGGUUGAGCUCCCCUGCUGAGUACAGUGAAUGGCGUUGGUUGCUUAUUUCUCUUUGCCAAGAGAAAUGUGGACUGCUCUCGAAAGAUAAUGUAAAAAUGAUCAAGGCGGAUGCAUUGGUUUGUUUGAUCUCUGUCGUGGAGCCCACUAUGAAUGAAGAUAGAAAGAAGAGAUAUUCCUCACCUGCUCAAGAGAUGCCGGUUGAGAAAAACUGAAGACUUCCUCUGCUGCUCAUGAGGGUCUGCCUGUUGCUGAGAUGCCUGUGAUUAACAUAACUUCUUCCAAUGGGAAGAAACAAUGAGGCUGCUCGAUAUGUGCCUGUGGCGCCUACCAUGUCAAGAAUGGCUAGUACGAUUGCUGAUAGGAUUACUCAGCGUAAAUGUCCUGUCAUGCCCCUAGUGUCGAAGUCUGUAUCAAGAUGUCUCUUGGGAGCUAAGUCCGGUUCACCUUUGGAGAGGCUUGCUACUAUGAAUAGCGAUAAGGUGGACUCUGCUGCUAAAGUGACGCCAAGGCCCACUCCCUUUGCUACUGAGACUAAUUUGCCUUCUAAGAAAAAUGAGAUUGCUCGCGUGGGCAGCUGUGAGAAAUCCACUAAGCCUGCUUCUGGGGAGGCUACUGAGAUCUGUGUGCUUUUGAAACUAGAUCUGCUUGAAGACAUAGACGUUUGUGCCAAGUUUACUGAUGGCAUUAGAACGGUUGUUUGCCCAAGUUCCUUUGCGAAGCAUACGACCUAAUAUAGAAGGACUACUCUGCUUACUAUUAUGCAUAUAUAGCAAGGCUGCCAAAGAGAUGGCGAAGACUAUGGCAGUUGAAGCUUAUUCUUCAACCGACGAGAUCAAGAGGUUGGAUUCUGAGCUUGUUGCUUUGAAGGGGUCUAAUAUUUCUGCCCCCACUUCUCUGCAGCUUGAGACCGCUCGUCACUUGAUCGUUGACUUGAAGACUAGGUUUGACGCGAUCCAAGUUAAGUAUGAAAGUACAGAAAAUGAGAUUAGAUGUUACAUACCUCAAAUUCAAGAUCUUGAGUUUGCAGUUUCUGAGCUUCAUUUCGCUGCUUAUGCAAAGGAUGAAGAGUUGAUUGCUGCUUAUAAUCAAGUGAUCCACUUCAAGAGAAUCGUCGAUAGGCUUGAACCCCCAAGUGUUGGAACUUCAAGGUGUACUGAAGAUCAAUGAAAGUUUGAAGAAGGAAGUGGAUGAGUUGCAACGCGUCCGUGUUGGUCUACUUGAAAAGAAUGAGCAUCUGAAGGGUGAGAAGGAUUAGCUUGAGGUUUUGAGAUCUUUUCUAUUUCUCUAAAAGACUUGCUUGCUUUUACUUUUGAGGCUUCCAUUGGUGAAGUAAUUGGAGAAAUUAGUGCCCAGGUUGGGGCGGCUAGGGGUGAAGCAUUGAAACGUCGCGGCUGUUGAAGGUGUGGCGACCGAGUAGUCGUGGGAUGUCCAAGCUGCUGUAGUUUUCUAGGUAGCCUUUAGGAUUUUAUUUGUUUUUCCUUGUAGCUCUUGUUUUGCUUGAACUCAUUAGGCCUUUUCUAAUUGUUUUUAAACAUGCUUCAUUCGCUUAUCUUCAUCUUCACUUCUUUUGUUCAUGCCCUAACCUUUAAACUUGAUAGACCAGUGGCAGGCAUGCUACUUUUUUAUAAGCAGACAAGCUCGCAUAGCCUAUGCAGCCGUAGGUGUUAGUGUAGAACUUUGCAAAGUUGUUGGCCAUAGGGUUGGCAGCCGAAUGCCUUACUUACAGAAGCAGACAAGUUCGCGUAACCACUACGCUGUUAACCUUGGCUUUCUCCAAUUUCGUAGGUUGCGUAUCAAGUAUCACAACACUUUAGGACUUGGUGUAGGUUGUUCUGCGUAUGGCAGAGGUGAAGCUUAUCGACUACGUAACAUGUCGGUAAUGGAUAAAGCUUUGUAUAUGCACACUAGCUUGUUUAACCUUUCAUAAGAAUGUGCGGUCGUAUAAGUCUAGCGCGAUUUUAUUGCUCGAAGCGUAAGUCGUAGGCAGUCUUCUAGAAAUCGUAGGCUACCUUAGUGCACUCGGUAGCAGCUUUAAGGUUCCAGGGUAGCCGUCUAUUGGAUGUAUUGCGUAAUGUGCCCCAUCUGUCUCUAGGGCCCGGUUCCCCACGAAUUAGGCCAAGAGACCCACAAUCCUUUAGUUAGUUAAGCCUUGAAAAAGACAAUUAUAGCUACUUCUAGGAAUCCCGACGCAAGCCAUCGUGCAUCUAGUUAUACUAGGGCAGCCCGACUCAUCCACGUAUGGAUAUUCGGAGUGUAAAGUUUAUCCUCCUGUCUUGGAGAGCUGACCCAUAUGGGUGUCAGGGAAUUGGUUUACCUUAUCGCACUGAAGAGCAAUUAGUUUACCCUUUCGCAUUGGAGAGCAUGGUUGGUCCUUUGGAUGGCUCAAUUCUUGCGAUGAGUCCCUAAGAAGGGUGCAGUUUUCCUUUAAAGUGGAGGAAUGAUCAAUUGUUGUAAGCAUGCAGCCAAGCCAAGUUGUGAUUACUUCUGCAUUCCUCAUUGAAAAACGAGUGAAACGAACGAGAACUUAACUGUAAGGUAGGAACUGCAUAACAACUGGAUGGUCCUUAGCUUGUGAGGUGGAGCCCGUCAAGCUGCUUGAGUCUUCGGGCUUUGAUGUAGCGAUAGGUCACACAUGGUACUUUCUCAGAUUGUAGGUGUUCCACUGCUUUUCAAUCUUUUUGUCGUUUCAUGUGUUGAAAGUAUGCCCACAAAGCCACUCAUUUGAUGUAAUAGCUUUUUGGAAUACUUAAUGUAUUAAACUUUCAUAUGUUUAAUGAAAGGCAAAGCUUAUUGUUAAUCACUAUUUAUUGUAUCAUGUGUUUAAGCAAUAAGGGAAUCCUAGGGAUGUAUUUGAUCUAAGAGACAAGUGAUCUAAGUGAGUUAGAUUAACGAGACCAUUCUCUUAUGUUCAUUCCAAAAACGUUCCUAACCAUAGGAUUGCCAAUUAGGUAUUGACAAUCCGCUAAGGUUAGUAUGUGUUAUGUUGACUCAAGCGUGAGUAUGACUAGUCUCAAGUCAUUUAGUGUUGGACACUAAGACAAACACAUAGGUGCUCGAAAGAGUAAUCGAGUACACUGAACGAUCAAAAGAGAGUUCGAACAUACAUGUCAUGUAAGAACUCGAAAAUUGCAAUAUCCAAAGUAGUCCUUUGACCUGAGGCAUCAUAGAUGUCUAAUGGUUAGGUCUUUGAUCUUUGAUCAUGUUAAAUGGCAUUCCAUUGGAGUGUCCACGGCAUUGUUGGGGUCAAGCUAUCUAGUCAUGUAGGCAUAUGAAUGCACAACAAGGGAUCUCUAACCUUCCAUGGUGGAAGGAGAAUACUCUAAGAUAUGAUUCUAAAGUCUUUGGCCAAAGCAUAUGAAUAUGACUUAGGAAGUUUGUUCCAAAUCAUAUUCAAGGGAAUCAUAUAGAUAAGUAUCACAUUGGAUAGUAGACAUGAAACCAACUAUCACUCAAACAAUGUGAUUAAGAGUAUUGUAUUAGAGAAUGACCGUAUUGCAUUGUAGUUGUAACUGGAUAGGUUCUCCAACCACUUCUACUUAGCUUGGGUAACCAUGACAUACUGCUAGGUGUCACUCAUGGUUUGUGGAAGCCCUAAAUGAUUAGCAAACACUAAUCAUUAAGGGAGAAUUGAAAUGUGGUUUCAAUUCACAAUCGAUCGUUAAGAGUAACAAUCGCCCACUACCUCGCUAAUUGGAACCUAAUGGAUCGUACACCGAGUAAGGAUGUAUGUGAGGAAAUUAAAUAAAAUGGAUAAGCAAUUAAAUGGUUUAAUUGAUGAAUGGUCAAGAUUAAUUAAUUAGUUAAUUAAUUUUACGAAAUGUUCGUAUUGGGCUUUUAAGUUGGUUUUGGGCUUCGUGUCCCAAAAGCGUUUUGGUCCAAAAGGCCCAUUAUGUUUAAGUUGUAUGACAACUAAAACAAAAUGGGCAAAUAGCCCAAUAACAUUAAUAUGGCCGGCCAUUAGGGUGAAUGGGCAAGCUUGGAUUAAUUACAAGUUUGCCACUCACUUGAAAUGAAGUAUAAAAGGAACUUUAUGGCUUUAUUUGUCAUAAGGGUUUUCUUAAAGAAAUUGGGUGAAACACUUUCUCUCAUUUUUCUCUAAAGAGGCCGGCCACUUAGGGGAGGGACAUCUAGCAAUCUCUUCUUCCCUAAGUCAUCCAUAUUAUCUUCACAAGAUACAUCCUUGGUGUGGAGACUUAGAGACAUCAAAUUUUUGGUGUUUUGGAGAACAAAUCCUCAAAUCCUCAAAGAAGCAAAGGAGUACUAAAAGGAGGAAAUCACAAGGAAUAUCCAAGGAGCUUGGAGGUGACUUGAAGGCCCUCCACUUGGGUGAAUCCCUUGUGUAAACAAGGAUGAGCUUCAAGGGUAAAGAAACUCUAAAUCUUUACUUCUCUUUAAUGUUGUUAAAGAGUUUAUUGGUUCACCAUACACUAGGCUUUGAAAGUCAUGGGUUUUAUGAAUUGUUUUUUAAUGCAUGCCUACUUUAAAGUGUUAAUAGUAUGCAUAUGUAUUCAAAUGUUCUUACUUGUUCUUAGCUAGGACAAAAUUUUUCCUUCAAGUGGUAUCAAAGCCUAGGCUUAGUUUAUGGUGAAUCCUUUUGGGUUUUGUGAUUUUCAUGAUUUAUGAUUUAAAUGUUGUAAAUGUUACAAGCUUUGUUCUUGCUUUUGAAUAUAUAAAUUUUGUUAGAAAAUUUAGCAUCUCAAAUGUCGUAGAUGUAUUUCAUUUAAGCAUGAAUGUUGGAACUAAAAUUUGGUGCCAUGUAUUUUGGGAAUUUCGGCCAAAUCCUUAGGGUGAUUUUUUGGGUUCAUGUUUGUCUUGUUAAAAUGGUUUUAAGGUGACUUUUGGAACCCCUAAGUACCCUAGGAUAUUAGCCCUCUUUUGAGUGGUGAAAAAUUGAGUUUUGGUGAGUGAAAACAUCCAUGGAGCUAUUAUGAGUUUUCAUGGUGUUCUUCAAUGUUCUUGAAGUUCUUGCCAAGAACAAAAAGGUUUUGAAUUUUUGAUUCAAAAGUUUUAUGUUUUUCAUAAAGUUUUGGUUUAAUUUUGAUGGGUGAUAGUUAUUGGUGAAGCAUUAAUUUUGGCUUUAAUGUUUGACAAAACUUAUUAAUGUUUUACAAAACAUUUUCUUACAAACCAUCAAUUUCACCUUUACCUCACCCACCAAAAUCAAGUUGCAUAAAAUCCCUUUCACACUCAUUCACACCUCUAAAACCGGCCACCCCCUAGUGGGGGUACUUUUGGGGUCUUUUAUGCAAUUACAUAAAGUUUUGAUACUUUUGUGUAUUUGCACUUUGGCCCAAAAGUUUACAUUUUUACGUUAAGGCCCAAAAACUCUAAAGGACGAAUUGUUUUGAUCCUUUAAUGAUGUUUUUACAUUAAUAAAAUUUUGGGAUCUAGUUGUAAUUACAUGAAGUUGUGGACUAUUGUGUUUUUACAAAGUGACCCCAAAAGUUUUUGUAUUUGCAUUAUGGCCCAAUUGUUGUGGUCAUAGUUUCCUUUUGGCCCAAAUAAAAUGAGAACAAAAAUUGUUUUGUCUCUUUAAUGAGAAUUGGAUUUUCAUUUCAUUUAGUUCCCUUUAAAUCAAUUCUAUGGAUCCAAAAACCAAUUGUUUAAGUUGCUUUCUUAGAUAAUGUGAUUAAUUGAGAAAAUGGUGAUUAUGAACCAAAGGCCUCGAUAAUUGAGCUAUGUGAUUGGCCGCUUUACAUUAUGAAUGUUUGGGUUUGGUAGUGUAGAUUUGAAUGUAAUUUGAUUAAUUCAAUUUGUUGUAAAUGGACAUAAGUCCAUCAUUUGUGUUGUAAAAGGGCAUAAGCAUUCUUAUUAUUUCAUGUAUUCCUUUUGUUUAUAUGUAUGCAAAAUGGAAUAGUUGGGUCCAACGCCCAAUAGGAAAUAACGGUUUAAUUGGAUUAAACGCGUAACUAAAAUCAACAACUAUCUACCUUAAACCCAAGGUCCAACACAAGGCUCGUGUUGGAUCAAAUUAAUCGGUUCAUAAUCAUCCUAAGACCUAAUAUAACUAUAUAGCCCAUAUGAGGAUGCAAUGCAUUCGUUAGUAGUUCCAUAUAGUCUCACUUAUUUCUUCGAAAUAGUGGCAGUAUUAUAAACUACUAAAAUCAUAUUAACUUGGACCAAUAGUGUGAUAGGCCCAUGUUCUUUUAAUAUGAUUAAAAUGAUUUUGAUGUAGCCCAAAACUACUCCCUCGACAAACGAAUAUUAAGUUGAUAAGCGAGAGAUGUUUUGAACAUCUCUUCGUAGGCCUUCCACCGUGGUGGGCUCCAAUCGUUUGUGACUCAUGCACCGGCUUCACCCUAUCAUGGGGGAGUUCAAAGUAUGUGCUUACAUCCAGGAGGAGUCCAUAAACAUAUGAUGAGGUGAGUGUAGGCAACGAGGAUAGCCGACAUCGUAUCAUCGUGAGGCUAUUCUUGAACCCCUUCACAAACUAAGCAUGGUGGGAAUAACUUAAAACUAAGUGCAAUGGAGCCGACAUCGUAUAUCAUCGUGAGGCAAAAUUCUCUAGAGGCCAAACGGAUGGGUAAUUACAAAAAGGUUGUAAAUGAAUAAUGCGUUAUUCUCUCAUCAUUAUUUUUGCUAACCAACAUCGUAUCAUCGUGAGGUGGGCUUGGUAAUGGUGAGUCUCCCAUACCCCACUAAGAGUUCAAUAUAACUCUCGAAUUCUAUUGAGGGAUGUGGAAUUUGCCAAAAAUAGUGGGUGGUACUAUUUGAUUCAAAGACCCAAUCAAAUAGUUUUAAACAAACAAUCUAAUACGAUUUCUGUUAUGUUAUGUAGUUAACGACAUGCCUAAAAAUUAUACCCACCAUUAUACUUGACAAAAAGGGCCUUAAGGGCCAACGUUUCCUUGCUUGGUAUCGCCACAUUGAGAAUGUCUCAAAGGUGAAAGACAUAUUGUAUGUGCUUAAGAAAUCCCCUCCUCAUAUACCUCCUACGAAACUAGCUUCAAAUGAGGAGUGUCAAAAUAAUGUUAGACACUAUGAGGAUGAUUUACAAGCCAAAUGCUUAAUCCUUACUUCACUUAGUGAGGAGCUUAUGAAACUACAUAAGCACAUGGAUACUUCUUGUGCCAUGGUUGAAAGUUUGCAUAAGAUGCAUGACAUUGAGACUAGUAAUGUACGAUUCUCAAAUGUUUGUAGUCUAAUGAAUGCCAAAAUGGCAAAGAGGACAUCGGUCCAUAAACAUGGACAAAAGAUGGAAAAGAUAUUUAAAGAUCUUAAAAGUUUAGGAACUUCCAUCGAUGGGAAAAUGGCCCAAGACUUUUUCCUUGCAUCUCUCUCGGAUGAUUUCACUAAGUUUAUUGUAAACUAUAAAGUGAAUAGAUUCGAUCAUGCUUUAAACGAGAUGAUUGACAUGUGCUGUAAAUUUGAAAGAGGUUUCAAAAGGGACAGUGGGAGUGAGAAUGCAAUCACAAGGAAAAGGUUGCAUAAAAAGAAGGCAAAGAAAUCCAAAGGAACAUGCUUUCAUUGUGGAAAGGAUAAACGUUGGAAGAAGAAAUACAGGGUACGCAUUGCGAGCCUUAUGACACGAACUUUUGAAAAGACUAUUUCUGUCAUAGAUAGUGCUUUUACAGUGAGCUCCAAUUCCUGGAUAUUUGAUUCAGGCGCUAGUCAACAUAUCUGUAAUACGAUGCAGGGACUAGCGGAGAGCAAAUCACUGCGCAAUGGGGAGAUGGUUGUGCGAGUUGGGAACGGCACUAAAAUCUCUGCAAAAGCAAUAGGCACCUACAUGCUUAACCUACCCUCUGGGGAAGUCCUGGAACUUAAAAAUUGUUUAUAUUUUCCUUCAUGUAUAAAGAAUUUGAUUUCCAUCUCUAAGCUUUUACGAGAUGGGCACUCAGUAUUGUUUGACAAAAUGAGUUGCACUUUAUACUUGAACGGUCGUAUUAUCUCUCAUGGUAAUAUGAUAGAGGGACUUUUUCACCUAGAGACGAAUAGUGGGAUGCACUGUAUUGCAAGCGGGAAUACCUCAAAACCCAAAAAGGCUAGAGAAGAAGUUAACCAAGAAAAGAUGUGGCAUCUUAAACUUGGACAUGUGAACCUUGAUAAGAUUCACAAGAUGUCGAAAGACGGAUAUAUCCACCCAUUAGGUAAUGACCAGAUGGGUACUUGUGAAUGUUGCUUGAAAGGGAAUAUGACCAAAUCUCCAUUUACUGGAAAAGGAGAGCGUGCCACUGAAAUUCUAGGGUUAAUCCACACUGACGUAUGUGGACCUAUGUCUACUACGUCGAGAGGAGGCUUCUCCUACUAUAUCACAUUCACCGACGAUCACUCUCGAUUUGGCUAUGUGUAUCUUAUGAAGUACAAGUCAGAAUCCUUUGAAAGGUUCAAGGAAUUCAAGAAUAAAGUUGAGAAGCAAACUGGGAAACAGAUAAAGAUCCUAAGAUCGGAUCGAGGGGGUGAAUAUCUGAGUAAUGAAUUCCUAGAUUAUCUCAAAGAGUGUGGAAUAAUAUCACAGUGGACUCCACCAGGAACUCCACAACUUAAUGGAGUUUCUGAAAUGAGAAAUCGAACUUUAAUGAACAUGGUUCGUUCUAUGAUGAGUUCCGCUGAUCUACCAAUAACAUUCUGGGGAUACGCUCUAUAUACAGCAGCUUACUUGCUUAAUAGAGUACCUUCCAAAUCAGUAUCACAAACGCCCUAUGAGAUAUGGCAUGGAAGAAAGCCAAGUCUUAAUCAUGUUAAGAUUUGGGGUUGUGAAGCAUAUGUCAAGAAGCUUGAAGCUACUAAGCUCGAAGCGAGAUCAGUAAGGUGCUAUUUUGUGGGAUAUCCUAGAGAAACUAUGGGAUAUGAGUUCUACCAUCCAGACGACCAGAAAGUCUUUAUCGCCAGAACUGCUAAGUUUCUAGAGGACGAAUUCGUUCUCAAAGGAACUAUAAGCAAAGAGAUGGAAAUUAAUGAGAUUAAUAAUGAACCACAAACAAGCACUCGACAUAUUGACAACCCUGUUCCUGAACCCCUAGCUCCACGUAGAUCUGAACGGGUUAGUAAGCCACCUAAGAGGUAUGGCUUAGACAAUGACUUUGCGGAAUUGCACCUUUUAGGUGACAAUGACACAAAGAAGGACCCUAGGGACUACACUGAAGCAAUGUCCGACAUUGAUUCAAAGAGAUGGCAAGAGGCCAUGAAAUCCGAGAUGGAUUCCAUGUAUCAAAAUCAGGUCUGGACUCUUGUAGACCCUCCAGAAGGUAUUAUACCUGUUGGAAACAAAUGGGUCUUCAAGAGGAAGAUAGGCGUUGAUGGGAAUGUGGAGACUUAUAAGGCUAGACUAGUAGCCAAGGGUUACAGGCAAAGAGAAGGGAUUGACUAUGAAGAAACUUUCUCUCCUGUAGCCAUGAUUAAGUCCAUUCGGAUUUUGCUUGCUAUAGCUGCAUACCAUGAUUAUGAGAUAUGGCAAAUGGACGUGAAGACGGCCUUUCUGAACGGCUACCUAGAGGAAGAGCUCUAUAUGACUCAACCCGAAGGUUUCGUGUCCAAGUCUGAAAAGACUAAGGUAUGCAAGCUUCAAAGGUCCAUUUAUGGACUUAAGCAAGCCUCUAGGAGCUGGAACAUUCGUUUCGACACUGAAAUCAAAACGUUUGGUUUUACUCAAAACGAAGACGACAAUUGUGUUUAUCAAAAGGUCGUUGGGGAUGCAGUUGUAUUCCUAGUGUUAUAUGUAGAUGACAUAUUACUAUUCGGGAAUGACAUUGCAAUACUUUCUUCUGUAAAAGUGUGGUUGUCCAAAACCUUCCACAUGAAAGAUUUAGGAGAUGCAUCUUAUGUACUUGGGAUAAAGCUCUAUCGUGAUAGAUCCAGAAGACUAAUUGGAUUAUCCCAAUCUAUGUAUAUUGAUAAGGUGCUAAGUAGGUUCCAGAUGGAACAAUCUAAGAAAGGUUUUCUUCCUGUUAGACAUGGAAUUCACCUUUCUAAGUCCAUGGAACCUAAGACUCCUUAAGAGAUACGGCAAAUGAAUACUAUUCCUUAUGCUUCCGCCAUAGGGAGUCUCAUGUAUGCCAUGAUAUGCACAAGGCCUAAUAUCGUAUAUGCUGUGAGCAUUACUAGUCGAUAUCAAUCUAACCCAGGACCAGAACACUGGGCAGCUGUCAAGACGGUCCUUAAGUACUUAAGAAGAACUAAGGACAUGUUCUUCGUAUAUGGAGGAGCGGCAGAGUUGCGAGUGGAAGCCUAUACAGACGCAGAUUUCCAAUCUGACGUCGAUGAUAGAAGUUCCAACUCCGGAUAUGUAUUCACUCUGAAUGGUGGGGCUGUCAGUUGGAAGAGCAAGAAACAAAGUGUAAUUGCUGAUUCCACAACAGAGGCUGAAUAUGUCGCUGCAGCUGAAGCCGGCAAAGAAGCGUUCUGGAUGAAGAAGUUCAUCACUGAACUUGGAGUGGUUCCAACCAUUACAUCACCAAUAACUUUGUACUGUGAUAAUAGUGGGGCGAUAGCUCAAGCCAAGGAACCCAAGGCUCAUCAAAAGAACAAGCAUUUUGACAGGCGCUUUAAUAUCAUUAGAAGAUAUGCUGCCGAGAGGAAAGUCAACAUCCUCAAAGUUGCCUCAGCCGAUAACGUAGCAGAUCCACUGACGAAGCUAAUGUCUCAAAUCCAACUUGACCGCCACAUGGAAAAGAUGGGUAUUAGAUACAUGAGAGGAUGGCUUUGAGUGCAAGUGGGAGAUUGUUGGAAGUAUGCCCACAAAGCCACUCAUUUGAUGUAAUAGCUUUUUGGAAUACUUAAUGUAUUAAACUUUCAUAUGUUUAAUGAAGGGCAAAGCUUAUUGUUAAUCACUAUUUAUUGUAUCAUGUGUUUAAGCAAUAAGGGAAUCCUAGGGAUGUAUUUGAUCUAAGAGACAAGUGAUCUAAGUGAGUUAGAUUAACGAGACCAUUCUCUUAUGUUCAUUCCUAAAACGUUCCUAACCAUAGGAUUGCCAAUUGGGUAUUGACAAUCCGCUAAGGUUAGUAUGUGUUAUGUUGACUCAAGCGUGAGUAUGACUAGUCUCAAGUCAUUUAGUGUUGGACACUAAGACAAACACAUAUGUGCUCGAAAGAGUAAUUGAGUACACUGAACAACGAUCAAAAGAGAGUUCGAACAUACAUGUCAUGUAAGAACUCGAAAGUUGCAAUAUGCAAAGUAGUCCUUUGACCUGAGGCAUCAUAGAUGUCUAAUGGUUAGGUCUUUGAUCUUUGAUCAUGUUAAAUGGCAUUCCAUUGAAGUGUCCACGGCAUUGUUGGGGUCAAGCUAUCUAGUCAUGUAGGCAUAUGAAUGCACAACAAGGGAUCUCUAACCUUCCAUGGUGGAAGGAGAAUACUCUAAGAUAUGAUUCUAAAGUCUUUGGCCAAAGCAUAUGAAUAUGACUUAGGAAGUUUGUUCCAAAUCAUAUUCAAGGGAAUCAUAUAGAUAAGUAUCACAUUGGAUAGUAGACAUGAAACUAACUAUCACUCAAACAAUGUGAUUAAGAGUAUUGUAUUAGAGAAUGACCGUAUUGCAUUAUAGUUGUAACUGGAUAGGUUCUCCAACCACUUCUACUGAGCUUGGGUAACCAUGACAUACUGCUAGGUGUCACUCAUGGUUUGUAGAAGCCCUAAAUGAUUAGCAAACACUAAUCAUUAAGGGAGAAUUGAAAUGUGGUUUCAAUUCACAAUCGAUCGUUAAGAGUAACAAUCGCCCACUACCUCGCUAAUUGGAACCUAAUGGAUCGUACACCGAGUAAGGAUGUAUGUGAGGAAAUUAAAUAAAAUAGAUAAGAAAUUAAAUGGUUUAAUUGAUGAAUGGUCAAGAUUAAUUAAUUAGUUAAUUAAUUUUACGAAAGGUUCGUAUUGGGCUUUUAAGUUGGUUUUGGGCUUCGUGUCCCAAAAGCGUUUUGGUCCAAAAGGCCCAUUAUGUUUAAGUUGUAUGACAACUAAAACAAAAUGGGCAAAUAGCCCAAUAACAUUAAUAUGGCUGGCCAUUAGGGUGAAUGGGCAAGCUUGGAUUAAUUACAAGUUUGCCACUCACUUGAAAUGAAGUAUAAAAGGAACUUUAUGGCUUUAUUUGUCAUAAGGGUUUUCUUAAAGAAAUUGGGUGAAACACUUUCUCUCAUUUUUCUCUAAAGAGGCCGGCCACUUAGGGGAGGGACAUCUAGCAAUCUCUUCUUCCCUAAGUCAUCCAUAUUAUCUUCACAAGAUACAUCCUUGGUGUGGAGACUUAGAGACAUCAAAUUUUUGGUGUUUUGGAGAACAAAUCCUCAAAUCCUCAAAGAAGCAAAGGAGCACUAAAAGGAGGAAAAUCACAAGGAAUAUCCAAGUAGCUUGGAGGUGACUUGAAGGCCUUCCACUUGGGUGAAUCCCUUGUGUAAACAAGGAUGAGCUUCAAGGGUAAAGAAACUCUAAAUCUUUACUUCUCUUUAAUGUUGUUAAAAAGUUUAUUGGUUCACCAUACACUAGGCUUUGAAAGUCAUGGGUUUUAUGAAUUGUUUUUUAAUGCAUGCCUACUUUAAAGUGUUAAUAGUAUGCAUAUGUAUUCAAAUGUUCUUACUUGUUCUUAGCUAGGACAAAAUUUUUCCUUCAUCAUGGUGGCGAUGGUGUAAUUAUUUUUGCUGCCUACUCUGUUGAUCUUGUAUGAACCUUCCCAGAUGGGACCCAUCUUUUUGGAGCAUUCUUUGUGGGCAAUGAUGAAGGCUUUUCUUAGGACUAGAUCUCCGAGUUGGAAUUACUGGAUCUUGGCCCUUUUGUUGUAGUGGUGAGGAGCUGCUACUGAUAGGCUACAAUGCGGGUGAUGGUCUGCUCGCGCUUCUCCUCUGCCAGAUCUAAGCUUGUGGCCAUCUCAUUACUGUUCUACUCAAUGCUUGGUAAUAGAGUAGUGAUACUUGGCUUGAUGACAUUCAGAUGAAUGAUUGCUUCUUAGCCAAAUGCCAAAGAGAAAGAAGUCUCACGGUUGCUCGUCUUUUGGUGGUGCGAUGUACCCAUAGACAUCCGGAGAGCUCGUCUGACCAUUUUCCCUUCUUGUUGGUACGGGAUUUCUUGAGGUAGUCGAAAAUAGUUUUGUUGGAUGCUUUGGCUUGCUCAUUGCCUUGAGGAUAUAUUAGCAAGGACAUGUGCUGCUUGAUGCUAUACUUUAAGAAGAACUUCGCCAAAUCUCUGCCCAUGAAUUGCGGGCCGUUGUGGGUGACGAUGGAAUAAGGGAUGCCAAAUUGGCAAAUGAUGUUCCUUCAUUUGAAGUGCUUUAUGUCUGUCUGAAUCGUGGUCGUCAUGGGCUCUGCUUUUACUCAUUUGGUGAAGUAGUCGGUUGCCACGAUCAUCAUACCUCUGCCCCUAGUAGCAAGUGGCAUAGGUCCUACCAGGUCAAUUGCCCACUGCAUGAACAGCCAAUGACUCGUCUGCUGGUGUAGUUCGCUAGCAGGCAGUGCUGAUACCAGCUUGUAACGUUAGCAGCGGCCGCACUUUUGUACUAACUCCUUAUCAUUUUGGUGCAUGGUAGGCCAAUAGUAACUUGUGUCAAGAGCCCUUUGUGCCAAGAAUCGACCUCCAGAAUGAUUUCCAUAAAUGCUUUCAUGGAUUGACCUUAGAACUUUCAAGUCAUCGGGAUGUGCUAAGCAGCGGAGAUGUGGUUCGGUGCAGGAUCUUCGGAUGAGAAUGCCGUUCCACAUGUAGUAGCGUACCCCCUUGAUUUGGAGUUUCCUAGACUCUAAUCUUUCGGUGGGGAGUGUACCGUUGACCCGGUAGUUUAUAAUAGAACUUUGCCAGUUGGGAGUUACACUAACCUGUGACACUUUGGCUGCCGGUUCCAUCUUUAUGUUUAGCUUGUCUAGAUAUUCCACCGAAAUAGAGUGUUUGAAUUGGUGGUCGAGAACGGAGUCCUAAGCAGGCUAGCACAUCUGCAUGGGCGUUGUCUGCUCGGGGAACUUGAGUGAAAGUGUAAGUCUGAAAUGCCUCAAGUUGCUUGCGUACUUUCUCUAGUUAUUACACCAUCCUCGGAUGUUUUUCUGUGUACUCCCCAGUAGUCUGGCUGGUGAUUAGCUGGGAAUAAGAAUGAAUUGCGAGCUUCUUCACCACCAAGUCUUUUGCCAUUCGGAGGCCUACUAGUAGGGCCUCAUACUCUGCUUCGUUGUUAGAUGAUUUGAAGCUUAGAGUGAUCGCCUAUUCAAGCAUUGAGCUGUCUGGGGUGACAAGAACCACGGCUGCUCGCGAGCCUUUGUAGUUGGAUGCACCAUCAAUAUGCAAAUGCCAGAAAUCUCCAUUGAGGGAGUAUGUGCAGCUAAAGUGUGCCUGGUUGCUUUUGAGGCGUCGUUAGGCCGUUCUAUUUCAUUGUCAAGGCUAGACGUGAAGGCGAGGGUAGAGAGCCAUGUAGCUAAAGCCAUGUUACAUGUAGCAAGAGAUGCUCAACUUCCGGUGUUGGGCCACUCUAGAGCUGAAUAAUGGAGCAAGGGUUGGCUAGGGUCGUGUGACGCGCAGCAAAAGGUAGUGCUCAACUAUCGGUACAUGUUGCUCUUAUGUAGAAUCUUAUGGGGCGACGAGGACAAAACUUGCUUCUGAGUGUUCCUUCCAGUGUUCUUCUACCCUUGGCGUGUCUUUUGGGUAGAGUUGUUGCGUUCGUCAGAAAACUUUGCAUCCGCCAAGGUCUACGCCUUUAUCAUCAUGCGUAUGGAUUCAGCGGAAUAGUGUGUCAUGAUGAUGACUGCGUGCUUUUGAAGGUAAAACUUGAGUUUUCGGGUUACAACAACUAUCGCCAAAGUUAUCUUUUGAAUUUCUAAUAACAUUGAGGAGAGCUUUUGAAUUGUAGAAUACAAUGUAGAAUAUUUGAAUUUCUAAUUGCAUCAAUGAGAGUUUUUGAACUGUAGAAUACAGUGUAGAAUACAAAUAGUCGAGCCCCUAGUUAUUCUCGCAUGAUGAUAUAGCUUAUUGCUGCUUUAGAUACUGUCAAACAUACGAAUAAGUCAUCUGCUGCUUCCGGUUUUGAUAGUAGGGAGGUGAUGUCGGGUACUUCUUCAAGUUUUUGAAUGUGCAUUGGCGAGCCUCGUCCCAAAGUGCAUGCUUCUCUACUAGAGUGAAAGAGUUUACCACAUUUAAAUCUUCUUUCAUGAUCAAUUUUCCAAAUAACAGGCUGUCUUUGGAAGGCUGCUAUAGCUAUCGAGUCGUUGCAUCCGACUAUCCUUGACAUUGAAAAAAUGGUUGGACUUCUUUUUUAUCGAGCGAUAGGAUGAAUAUUCUUUGGUGAAAACCAAAGAAAGUUCGUCGAAACUCCGAAUGGAUUGUGGCGGUAGGGUGUAGAACCAAUCUUACGCAUCGCCUUGUAGAGUGGUGGUAAAUAUCUUGCACAUGAGAUCAUCGUUGUUUCGAUAGAGGAUCAUUGCGCUUCGGUAGUGCUUUAAAUGUCUCUCCGAGUCUUUAUCCCCUUUGAAAUAUGUGAAAUGUGGCAUGCUGAACUCGCGUUAAGGCUCUGCCUGCUCGAUCUAGUCCAUGAAGGGUGACCUGCAUAUGUUGGUCAUGUUUCGUCGUAGUGCCUCGUCGGCGAAUAUCUUUACAGGCUGCCUAUUGAACUUGAGCCGGAUUGAGUGACUACUUCUCUCUGUUCGUCGUGCUGCCUGCUCCGAUGUGAGGUGGAUGAUGCUCCUUGCGGGCUUAACCGCGAAUGAACACUUCACCUGGAAAGUUUCUCAUGUUGACUAUCGGAGUGUGACCCCAACUAUGAAUGUAUGCUAGUCUGUGGGCCUAGUCAAGAGUGCACGCUCCUAAGACUGGAGUAUACACUAUCUCGGGGGCCCAAUCAGGAGUGUACAUUGCCCGAACGCUUGGUUCGUGGCUGGUCGAGUGGCUUCUUGCCGGGACACUGCUAGAGAGGUUCUUUGUCUGCCUUUGUCCUACUUCAGGACACCUCAUCUUGGGCAUGUUGCAUCUCAGUGCGCUGCAAGAGUUAGUUCACCAAGGUCGUCUGUUAUGCGAGAGCGCUUGUCAACUUUAUGACUUGUCAAGACAAGUGUUAUUCUCCAUUUAGGUUGGAAUAACUUGAAAGGAAUGCAUCUCCUUGAGGAGUGGAAGUGUGGUAGACUCCGGAUGUGAGAUUUGAGUUGGGAAAUGUCAAAUACCCAGAAACAUGUGGUGAAAAUGCUCCAUGUUCGAUCGUUGGUUCGAAAAUUUGGAGCCGGGACGGUUGAACUAAUUUUGAAUCGAUUCAGGCUACUUGGAAGGCCACGGGAGCAGACUGGGCCGUAGAAGCAGGUUGGGCCAUGAAAGUGGGCUGCUAAAUUGGAGCAGGCUGGGCCACGGGAGUGGGUUGCUCGGCGGGAGCAGGCUGGGCCACCAAAGUGGGCUGCUUGGCUGGAGCAGGCUGGGCCACGGAAGUGGGCUGCUCGGUAGGAGCAGGCUGGGCCACAGGAGUGGGCUGCUUGGUGGGAGUAAGUUAGGUCAAAAGAGUGGGUUGCUUGGUGCGUGAUGCAUGUGAGAGUAAGGCUUGGGCCGUGGCCUUAGUGACGUAAGCCGCCUUGGAUGGCACGGCUCGGGCCGUGGUGGUACCGCUCCACUUAUUGUCGCAUUUAGCCUCAUGGAUCGCCGUGGUCCCAUUCCUUGGAUAUUGGAAUUUUCACUCAUGGAAUUUUCUAAAUUUCCAGCCAUUGUAUUCUUCUUUUACGUUUUAUCAAAGAAUCUUUGCAAAUAAAAAAUUCUAAUAAUAAGAACGUAUGAAAAAAUACAAGUAAACUAGAAAAUGGAGAAAAACCUUUUUUUUAUGCGAGAAUCUUCUACGAGUGUAGAUUUCUUCUCUCAAUGAAAGCACUAAUUUGUGGAUGCAAAUUUCUUCCUCCUUCUUCUUGGACAAAAUUGCACCUACAAAACAAUUAACACCUUAGGGUCAAGACCAAGAGCCUUACGCACCCACGAUGAAUGGGGGGAGCUUUGGCCGAAGAACCUCUGAUACUAAAGUUAGAAUUUAGAGAGAAAAAGUGUUUAGAGAGUUUUUGGAAUUUUGCAAGAGUGUGAACCUCCCUUUUUGGAGAAAAUGGGGUAGCUUAUAUAGAGUAUGGCCGGUCCCCUUUGGAGACAAGGUGGCCGGCCUUUGGGAUGUUUUUUGGGUGUUAUUUGGUGAUUAAUUAGCAAUUAAUAUAUUGAUUAGAAAUAAAUAUAUUAAUUGGCUAAUUAACAUAAUAAAAGGAAUGUUUUUGGGAGGUUAUGGAAUGAAUCAAAUAAAUAGCUAAUUGAUUAGCUAAAAAAUGAAGAAUGAGGUAAAAAAAUAUAUGGAAUGAAAUAGGUUUUGGGAGUUACCAUGUAGAAGGGACUUGAUGAGAUAGGUUUUGAAUUGUUACCUGUUUUGGGCACUUUUGAUUUAGUUGAAGGAUGAUUGCCCACUGCUCGCACGUAGAAAUCCCGUUGUACCUCAAGGGUAUUUUUGUCCUUUUUUGUCCAAAGAUCCACAUGUCGCCUUGUGAUUAUUUUUGGCUCCACAUACUUUAACCACACUUUGAGACCACAUGAUUAUAUAUCAAUUAAUGGUAGGACUACUACUUUAUAUCAUUAAAGAAGAAAUCCAAUCGUCAACUGAUACAUCAUGUUGUCUUCAAAAUAUAGUAUCUCUAGCAUUAUUCAUUGACUUGAUAUUAGAAGGGUAAUUUCUCUUAAUCCUCUUUAAUUUUUGAUUAAAUACUCUCUAUAUUGAUUUAAUAUUGGAAGGUUAACUUCAACAUAGAAAAAAACAUUUAAAGCCUAAAAAAAAUUUAAUUAGCUCACAACUCCAACUAUGUACAACUAUGUAUUAUACCCUCUUGUAAAUAUUGUCUAUUUAUUUUAUUAACAUUUAUGUAAGGCCCAUUCUCACUUAAAAUCCUAACUUCGACAUUGAUCAAAUUGGUUUACAGAUAAAGGUUGAAUCAAUCUAGGUUCAGAGUCAUAAUCAAGACGGAAAGACUUAGCAGUGAUGGAGUUUUCGGCCGAGAAUAAUUUUGAGUAUAAUAAAAAAAAUAUGCCGAGAAAUUGGAAUAGUAUCAGAAUUUUACAACUCAGCUAACUUGGACAUCAUAAAUUCGCCCCCUAUAAAUAUGAGGUUUUUUUUACCAAAGAAAAAAAAAAGACGUUUUGCAACAUAGAGAGCCCCUUCAACCCAAUAAACAACUCAAAAUGCUCAACCCCAAAAACCCCACUCUACGCGAAACCCUGAGAAAAAUAAACUAUGCUAAUCCCUUGUCAACUUAUCUUCAGUAUGGAUAAACAGCUAACAACAUUAUGUUUGAUGCAAGGAAGAACCAAGGGUCUUGAAGAGACGAGGGAUAGAUGACCUGUGAUUCACUCAACUAGGGGCAAAGGAACUUUCUUGACAUCGUUAAUCGUGGAUUCACUCGCACAAUCAAGCCAAAUGCUUGAUUGGAGAAGGAGAAAUCACUCACUUCAAAUGCAAAGGCAAAUAAACUAUUUUUUAUUAAUCAAGUCUCCUAAACAUACAUAUAGAGUCCUUUAAAUAGAGAGAUUACAAUACAUUGGGAGGAUAGAUACUUAAUACUAAGACUAGAGUUACUAAGAACCUAAUAAAACAUAGCUUUGAAAGAUGAGAAGCUGCAAACAAUCAAAAUUCAAUAUAAGAAUUAUAUUUAUUGUCAUACAUUGCAUCAUAUCCUCUUCUCUCGAAAAAACUUGUCCUUGAAUUUUAGUUGACUUUGGUUUUCCCUUGAUCGUUUGGAAGGCCUUUCCUACUUUUCCAUAACAGGUACAAUAGCACAAGAAAUUUAAGAGUGUUCGAAUUCUUGAUCCAUAUUCUUUCUUCAAAUGGAUAAGCGUGAAAUGAAACAUGACUGAAAUGGUGAACAAGGCUUCUCUUCUUCAAAUACUUUCUUCUAACCAAAUCAUCAUGAUAAAGAAAUUUAUCCCAUAUAUAAUCAUGAAUAUCAGAGUAAGAAGUUUUUUCCCAAUAAAGAAGUUGCCCAUUUAAGUUUGAAUUUACCACCUCGCUCAUAAAUUGUAAAGUUUCCUUCAUAUCCACAAUUUUUAGUUGGUGCUCAACAUUCAAGAAACUACCUUCAAGAAUCUUAUUGAUCGCGUGAAUAACAAUAUCAUCUUCAAAGAAAUUAUACAAACUUGAGGAGUAUAACUUGCUUACCACGCUAACAUCCUCAUCAACUUCAUUCACAAAAUGAUCAUUGACUUCAUCGUCAUGACCAUAUUCACCGUAAAUUGGUGAGGAAUUUCAAUAAUCGAAAUUAAUUUCUUCAACCAUUGAUAUUCAAACAAAUGGAAACAUUACCCAUGAACUUCUAACGCAAACGAAAAACCUACUUUGUUGCCACUUGAUGCAAGAAAGAACCAAGGGUUUUGAAAAGACGAGAGAUAGAUGAUAUAGGAUUCACUCAACCAUAGGUGACGGAGCUUGCUUGACAUCACCAUUCAUGGAUUCACUUGCAUGACCAAGCCAAACGCUUGAUUAGAGAAAGAGAAAUCAUUCACUUCAAAUUAGUGCACAAGACAAAUAAACUAUUUUUCAUUAAUCAAGUCUCCUAAACAUACAUAUGUAGUUAUUUUUCAUUAAUCAAGUCUGCUAAACAUACAUAUGUAGUCCUUUAAAUAAAGAGAUUACAAUACAUUGGUAGGAUCGAUACUUAAUACUAAGAUUAUAGUUACGAGAAAUCUAAUAAAACAUAUCUUUGAAAGAUGAGAAGCCAUAAACAAUCAAAUUUAAUAUAAGAACUAUAUUUAUUGUCGUAAAUUGCAUCAGCACUUGAUGUAGGAAAGAAUCAAAGGACCAAGGGAGAUAACCUGGAAUCGCUCAACCAGGGGCAACGAAGCUCACUCGACGUCGCUAAUCAUGGAUUCACUCACACGACCAAGCCAAACGCUUGAUUAGAGAAUGAGAAAUCACUCACUUCAAAUGCACAAGGGAAAUACACUAUUUUUCAUUAAUCAAGUCUCCUAAACAUACAUAUGGAGUCCAUUAAACAGAGAGAUUGCAAUACAUUGGUAGGAUAGAUACUUAAUACUAAGAUUAUAAUUACAAGGGAUCUAAUAAAACAUAGUUUUGGAAGAUGAGAAGCCACAAACAAUCAAAUUUAAUAUAAAAACUAUAUUUAUUGUCGUACAUUACGUAGUUUGCCUGAUUGCUGAACAUCCAACACACAAAUAUAACAUGUUGUCUGUAUUGUACUCUUGAUUAACUUUUCCAUUUCCAAAAGCACAAAAGAGAGAUACUUCACAAAAUUGUGGAGGAACUCCUCUAAAAAUAGUUCAUGGCCAAUUCAUAGAAGCUUGUGUUUAUGAUUAGAACCAUUCAUAUUAUAAAACAUUGUGUAAAAAUUAUCUCUGUAAAAAAUCAAUUAAAACUAGGGUCGUUUAGUUAAUUAAUGUAGUUACUAAAUAGAUUUUUAGUACUUUUAUAUUGAUUAUGACCAUAUGUUUUUAUACAAUAAUGACUAAAUGAUAUCAUAUUUUAUAUUUUUUUUGCAGAAAUAAUGAUAGUUUAUAAUAGGAACAUUUCCAAUCAUAAUAAAAAAAAAAAGUUUCUUGAAUCACCCAUUAACAACUUUGCGUAGGGAUUUCUUGGGCAAUGGGUACAUUCAUUUCAAAGUUUUUGUACAAUUUAAAUUAGCAAGAAAGUUAAAAUCACAACAGAGUAAAAGAAAAUUUAAAGGGUAAAUUACAUAAUACCCCUCAGGUUUGAGGUCUAUUACAACCCCAUACAACAUCUUUAAAAUAUUU
rnacentral:lncRNA from 1 species